CCCAGAUCUGCCGCCUCUCCCUCCACACAAGAUCCGACGCAAGCCACCUACCCCCUUCCGCACCAGCCUCCCCACCGACGGUGACGGGAGGAGCUCUCGGAGGGGAUUCAGGAGCCCGGUCGCCUGCUUGCCACCGCCCGUGACGGCCGAGCUCCCGGGGGAGAUCAUGACGCCUUGUCGCCCGACCCCCAUCACCUCCCGCUCAGCCGACGACAACAACUUUCUCUCCCUCUUUCCCCAGACCCCCAUCACCUCCUGCUCGACCUGCUCUAACGCGAUGCAUCUUUUGAAACAAGAUUCUCGCGGUAGGAACGCGAGGACUCAUCAACGACGGCGAUUUCGAGCCACUGCGGAGCUCACCCCAUUUGGUCGCCGCAGACUCCUUCAGCCUCGCCGACCACGGAGGUCGCCUUCCACCAGCGUGGGCUCAGCACCUUCGGCUGCGUCCUCUCCGGAUUCCCCCACGGCAAGUGCAGCAACCACGCCGUGGUCAACAACAAGCCACUCCCCUUCUCCAGAAUCGCGCAGAUUGCUGCGAUGUUCAAGAUUGGAAAUAGCAAGGAGCUUCCACCAAUACCAGAUCACCUCUCAGAGCAGGGGAAGGACUUCAUCAGAAUGUUUCUGCAACGUGAUCCUUCUCAAUGUCCCUCAACAAUAGAGCUUCUGCAACACCCGUUCAUACAAGCUUCAGAAGAAAAAAUACCAAAGCAGGGAGGAGAAUGCCCCAGUUGAGGUUGCCGCUCUGGCUCCAGCUCUAACUCCGGUUCUUGAAGAGCCCACGGACUCGAUAUAAAGGGUAUGGCCUGAUGCAUGUAUGCAUGGUUGAUAUUUAGGUGUUCCUGGAUUGCAAACAAGACCCAUGCGUACACUUUGUUGCAUCUGGAUCUGUUAUGUCUUUGUAAUGCAGCAUUGUUUGAGCAUGCAUCGUACCAUGUAACUUAUUUUACUUAGAAUAUGCUAGCAAUAGAUAUGUACCAAAGACCAUGUAUUUAGUUCAGCUGUCAACUAUCCUAAUAGCAGCAACAUGAUUAUUUUUGUGACUUGAUCUCCAGUUCUGGAUGGCAGAGCAUGCCAGGUUCUUCGCUUGGCUUAGCCGCAAAACUGCCCUGUUUUGGGGUAGCUGUGAUAGUUCUCGGUGUUUUACAUUGAUAUCACAAUGUUUCUUUUUCGCAGCCAUGGUUUAUAAACACGAGAAGAUGCUGUUGCGCUUUGACAAACUGAUGCGGUGGGAAACGAGUCUAUAGUGAAAGAAUGUUGCACUUCAUUACCUAACCUGGAGGGAGAAGUGGCGCCCAAGGUCAAACAUUAUUUGGGAUACUGCAGGUCUUUGCUUAUUUGACGCUGAAGCUGGAGUUAUGAUGGGGGACGGUUCCUUCAAGCUCUUCGCAUGGUCAACCAGUGCUGCUACGGGUAAAAUUUAUGGUUAUCCAGAUUCAGUUAUAAAGAAACAUCCAUCAGCUGCUACAUUUCUGAAUUGUCUCACUCUAUAACUGCUUAUGUAUCUUGGGCUGCAGCCAGCGUUGCACAGACAUGGUCCUAUGCAAGAUCCUAUACAUUGUCUUGCAGACUUAAUGAUACACAUGUAGUAAAUAUCCUCUUCAUCAAGCUCUAAAAGUAUGGCUUUUCCUCUUCUUUACAUGAGCUCUAGGUUGAAGAAAUUUGAAGCUCCGGAAUUUGAAGUCUGGAGCUCCACAAAGCAGAGUAGCUGCUACUUAUAAUUUGGCAUGUUAUAUUAUACUCCCUCCGUCUAUUAAUAGAUGUCCAGUGGUUCAUAUAAAUUUGGAUGUAUCUAUGUUUAAAAAAUGUCUAGAUACAUUCGAAUUUAGACAAACUUUUGACAUCUAAAAAUGGACAGAGGUAGUAGUAAUCAUAUCUGGUUGUAUGAACACUAUGUAAUGUCUGUAGUAAGAAUACUUGUUACAUUAGAAAAGUUUGUCAUUCUU